rnacentral:lncRNA from 1 species
AAUUAACACAUUUAUUCUCUAACUAUUCUCUGGGCAAGUUUAUUCCUCAAUUUAUUAUUGACUUAACAGUUUUAGACAUAAAAAUAGUCAACACAAGAUACUUAACAGAGACGUUAAAUAUCACAGUUAAUUAAACAAAAAAAAAAAAACAAAGAAAUCCCAAAUGUUCUGUGUUUGACUAGUAAUGUAUCUUUUCAUUGAACUAAAGAACACAAACUUCAUUGAACUAAAGAAAGUUCACUAAAACCCACCACAUCAUGC